CUAGCUGUCUCCAUCCUGUUGGUCUGCCCUUACUGAGCCCUUCCUUUUUUUUUUUUUUUUGUCCCCCCCCCCCCAACCCAGGGCCUUGCGCUUGCUAGGCAAGCGCUCUACCACUGAGCUAAGUCCCCAACCCCUACCGAAUUCUUUAGAAGUACUGAAGUAGCAUUGUCCAAGUUGUGUAAAGUUUGCUGACAAUCACUUAUGCGUGCUUUAUCUUGUGGGUUCCUUAUAUCUGACCUUAUUCCACAUCCCCAUUUUUACCACAGGAUACACCCGGAGUUGGUAACAUUCACUCAGGUAAGUUUCUGAGCAGUGUUUGUGGGUCUACAAAAUGGUCUUUUGGUUUCUGCUGAGACAGUUUAUGUAGCAAUGGCUAUCUCUGCCUGAGAGCUGGGAUUGAAGUAGGCAUUACCAUGCCCAGCUAUUUUGAACACGGUCCUUAUUAUUCACACUGACCUUGAGUUCUUGAAACAACUUUUUAAAGACAUGGAUAUCUAACCAAUUUGCUGGAUUUUUUCCCCCUUUUGGUUUUCUGAGGGGUUUAUUCCUGUGUAGCCCUGGCCAUCCUGAGAGUCAAUCUGUAGACCAUGCUGGCCUAUUUCUCAGAGAUCCACCCACCUCUGCCUCGGAUUAAAGGUGUGUCCUAUCACCACCCAGCUGUUGCUUUCUUUUUAAAUAACUUUAAUGUCUACUUUAUUCAAGCACAUUGUCAAACCAUUAAUCAAUUUGAGAAACUUACCACAGGUUACCAAAAUACUAACUACAUAUACCAACUGCUUAGAAGUUAUGCAAGGUGGAGAUUACUGUGUGCUGGGGAGUAUAAUACACCACCCUUUUAAUAGAGUUCGGCAUACGCUUACAAAUACCCCUUCUGAAUGAAGCUAUACCAUAAGUAUUCUAAUGGAGUACAGUGAUGCUUCAGUCAUUCAGGGCUUUCAUCAAAGCUACUUAUAUUGUCAUCAUUUUUUUCUUUAAAACAAAGCACUGGGGAGGUAGAGACAGUUGAAUUUCUGAAUUUGAGACCAGCCUGGUCUAUAGAGUGAGUCUAGGAUAGCCAGGGUUACAGAGAAACCAUCUCAAAAGUCAGCAGACCUGUGAUGGCAGCACCCAUGUUGCAGCUCUGACAUCCCCAACUCCAGUCCCAGGAGAUGCACUGUCUGCUCGUGACUCAGUAGGCACCAGGCACAUAGGCAUUUUAGUAUGUAUACAAAAAUGGAAGGCACCAGAAAGUAUGGCUUCAGCUGCCUCUGGGCUAUACCUACUGCCAAGCUUCAGAAUUCCCGGGUUUUUUAAAUUUGUACUUCACAUGCAUUUGUAGUUUUGCCUGCACAUGUCCAAUAGAGUAUCACACCCUAUGGAGCUGGAGUUAUAGUUGUAAACUUGCAAUGUGAAUGCUGGGAAUUAAACUGUGGCCCCUCCGCCCAAGCCAUUUUAUUUUUAAGCACACCUAACUGGAAGGUGUUGAGCAGUAUUGUGGAGCUUAAAGGGCUUUACUUUGUUCUAGGUGCCACACCUCCAUGGAUGAUCCAAGAGGAGGAGCACAGCUCUGGAAGCCUCCCAAUAGGACCCUCCUAUGAAGAAUUUCUUAAAGAAAAGGAAAAGCAAAAACUGAAGAAACUCCCUCCAGAUAGAGUUGGGGCCAACUUUGAUCACAGUUCCAACACCAGUGCAGGCUGGCUGCCCUCUUUUGGCAGAGUCUGGAAUAAUGGACGCCGCUGGCAGUCCAGGCAUCAAUUCAAAACUGAAGCUGCAGCAAGAAGCAGGCAGCCACAUAAAGGGAAAAGCUGAAGGUUCCCAGUCUGUUCCGAUCUCAUGGGUUAACAAACCCAUUCCAGCCAGCUAUUAUUCCUAAGACCAAAUCCUCUCCAGCUGCCUGAGGAAACAGAUGCACCCAUUCAUUUGAUUCAAUAAAGUUUUAUUUUCCCAAAUGUA
rnacentral:lncRNA from 1 species